rnacentral:rRNA from 1 species
CUUGGCGACCAUAGCGUUUUGGACCCACCUGAUUCCAUCCCGAACUCAGAAGUGAAACGAAACAGCGUCGAUGGUAGUGUGGGGUCUCCCCAUGUGAG